GCUUCUUCAGUUUUCUGAAACUGACUUUCGGCUCAGUUUCCCAUUGUUCAUCAUCAUAAUCUUGUCCCUCAGAAUACGGAUUAUAAAAGUACUGAUAGUUAAAAUAGCAUUUAAAAUAACUAUAUUUGUUAAAUUACCCUAAAAAAUGUUGUUAUUCGAUUUCUCGUGUUUGGACAUGAGGAUUCAUGGAUUAUAACUGCAGUGAGUCAAAAUAUUAAACCAAAUUUCGGUCGUUAUUAAUCGUUGAUUAAAUAACAAUGCGAAAAGAUAAAAAGGAAACUAAUUAAUUGUCAAUGUUGAGAAAAAAAUUUUGGUCAUUAAACUUGAGGUGAAAGUAUAAUUUAAGCAGGAUUUUUUGAGAGGCGAAAUGCAACACAGAUUCCACGAUUCGUCAUUUGUUUUUUUUUGUCGUUGGAGGACAACUUGCCAUUAGUAUGAUACUGUUGUCGAGCAUAAACUUGCAUCGUAAAAGUGGUUUUGUCCCAUGACGUCCGACGGAUCCAUUAAGAUUAAUUGACCCUUAUCACAUAAGCGCGGGUCACACGACAGAUUGUAAAGUGGAUCUCGUCGACUCUGCCUUCAGAGAGCGAUGGAAGGAUAGAAAUUGGAAAUAAAAAGUCUCCUUUUUUUCCUUAUCUUUACAUUACAACGUAACGUUUCGUUGGAUGACCCUAACAACUAUUUUUUUCCAAAAAGAACAUUACCUAAAAUUCAUUGAAAUAACUAAUUGAAUUAAUGAGCACAGUGGGGAUAAAAAAUGAAUUACAAGUAAGAAAGAACGGGCAAUUAAACGCGCCGCAAAGGAAGUUGCUAACUAUAAGAAAAGGGCGACGUUGAAUGAAAACAGCUGCGGAUGACGACACGGUCUCGACUUGCGUGAACGUUAUAUUAUACUUUGGUGCGCCAGUAGUUCAGAAUCGGAGCUAUUUUCAUAUGAGCAAAUAAACCAACGCCUACUCUCACGAAUGCCGAUAAAACUUCUGCAUGUUCCUUCUCAAAUUCAAAAUCAAACAAAAAAUGUGUUGAAUUCAUUCAUUUAUUCAAAAUUGGAAUAAAAUUUCAUCGACUUUGAAAAAUCUCUUUCAAGGACAAAAAGAUAUUAUGUAUUUUAAAACAUUUCUUAAAAAAAAAAAUUUGAAAUUCAUUCUUCGGAAACAUUUCAUAUACUUAAUUCUUGAAGCUUUUUUUUAGAAACGGCAAAGAAUUUCUUGAUGUAUUUCUCGAAAAAUUGAUAAACAUGCUUUUUUUAAGAAGGUCUAAAAAUAUAAUAAAAUAUAUUUAAAACUUU